UACAGAGGGGGCAAGCGUUGUUCGGAAUUACUGGGCGUAAAGGGCGCGUAGGCGGCCUUCUAAGUCGAACGUGAAAUCUCCACGCUCAACGUGGAGGGGCCGUUCGAUACUGUCGUGACUCGAGUCCGGUAGGGGAGUGUGGAAUUCCCGGUGUAGCGGUGAAAUGCGCAGAGAUCGGGAGGAACACCCGUAGCGAAGGCGGCACUCUGGGCCGGUACUGACGCUGAGGAGCGAAAGCGUGGGGAGCAAACAGG
rnacentral:rRNA from 1 species